rnacentral:misc_RNA from 1 species
AAGUCGUAACAAGGUUUCCGUAGGUGAACCUGCGGAAGGAUCAUUAAUGAUUUUUAAAGCGAGUCGAGCGUUUAAGCGAGGCUUGCGAAAAAUAUUUAAAACCCCACUCUUUUUAACUUUUAAAAAAAUAAAUCAUGAUACAUGAAUUUAAAAAAAAGAUCACUUUCAACAACGGAUCUCUUGGCUCUC